rnacentral:rRNA from 1 species
CCUACGGGCAGCAGCAGUGGGGAAUAUCGGGCAAUGGGCGCAAGCCUGACCCAGCAAUGCCGCGUGAAGGAAGAAGGCUUUCGGGUUGUAAACUUCUUUGACAUGGGAAGAGCAGAAGACGGUACCCUGAAAACAAGCCACGGCUAACUACGUGCCAGCAGCCGCGGUAAUACGUAGGUGGCAAGCGUUGUCCGGAUUUACUGGGUGUAAAGGGCGUGUAGCCGGGAAGGCAAGUCAGAUGUGAAAUCUGGAGGCUCAACCUCCAAAUUGCAUUUGAAACUGUUUUUCUUGAGUACUGGAGAGGCAGACGGAAGUCCUUGUGUAGCGGUGAAAUGCGUAGAUAUAAGGAGGAACACCAGUGGCGAAGGCGGUCUGCUGGACAGCAACUGACGGUGAGGCGCGAAAGCGUGGGGAGCAAACAGGAUUAGAUACCCCAGUAGUC